UACGUAGGUGGCGAGCGUUGUCCGGAUUUACUGGGCGUAAAGAGCGCGCAGGCGGUCGUGCAAGUCGCGUGUGAAAGCCCCCCGGCUCAACUGGGGAGGGUCACGCGAUACUGCUCGACUCGAAGGCAGGAGAGGGAAGUGGAAUUCCCGGUGUAGUGGUGAAAUGCGUAGAUAUCGGGAGGAACACCAGUGGCGAAGGCGAGCUUCCUCGGUCCUGGUUCUUGACGCUGAGGCGCGAAAGCUAGGGGAGCAAACGGG
rnacentral:rRNA from 1 species